UCUGCAAGCCACAGGGGAGGGAAGUGGGCAGUGAUGACAGUGCACAGCAUUUACAAGACACAGGGGAGGGAGUGCAAAGCAUGUCAUCACUGCCCACUUCCUCCCCUGUGUCUUGUAAAUA
rnacentral:pre_miRNA from 1 species